GUGAUGGAGUGUUCAAAGGAAGUUCUUUCCUUUCAGGUUUGUAUUAGCUUAAAUGAUAAAGGGAAAUAAACUAAUCAUAUCACAAUAUGUGAACCAUCUUUUAAUCUAAAGAGAAAAUUAAAAUGAUGUAUUUUUUCUACUUGUUGUGGAAAAUGCCCUGUGUCUGGUGGUUUUCAAAUCAUUAACUUUCUCAUUGAACAGUUAUGAUGAUUUUAGUUUCACUGCAAUAGCCAUUAAAGUGCACGCUCACCUGCCAGGUUAUCAUACUCUAUUGGCCAUUGCAGUGGCCAUUAAAAAAUCUCUGUCAAAAUGUUCUCUGUCACUAUACCGUAAAUUUUGAAUAUUUCAUAAACAUAUACUGUAAUCUUUAUGAAAUAAACACAUUGACUAUUCUGGAAUUUUGUAGAAAUUCCAACGCAGUAACAGGAUAUCAUAAGUCAAAGUAGGGAAUGACAGUGAUGAAACUUGACAAACGGUGGAUGUUCGCAAUCAAAUUUUGUCAUUUCAUACAGCUUUUUCUUUUUCAACAAUUAUGAUGUGGUCUACCAGAUCCAUCAAGUUUUCAGGGACACAUAUCACACACAUAUUGAAGGGCAGCAUAUGAAAAGGGUUUCCCUGUAGGAAUUUAGAAAAAGGCGUAUUAGAUUAAGUAAUUAGAUAAUGGAGAAUCCUGCAGGAUAUUAUUAUUUAUAUAGCGCCAUCAGAUUCCGUAGCGCUGUACAAUGGGUGGACUAACAGACAACUGGACGUACAGGAACAGAGAGGUUGGAGGGCCCUGCUCAAUGAGCCAGUAUAGAGGGUAUGCAUUAUACAUAUUGUAAGGUGACUCUUUUUUUAUGCAUUUUCAUAAAUAGGACAAAAUGAUGUGUCCCUGAAAAAAUGAUGGACCUGGUUACCCUAUCUAUGGAGGAUCUAGACAGGAUAUAGAAGAGUAAAGAACUGACCUGGCAGAUGAAACUCUAGGAGCCGAAGAAAGAAGAUCCAAGGAAAAGCAUCGGGAAAGCAUUGCAUGUUGAGAAAGUGCCAAGACAGGCACAGAACACAUCCAGGACCUCUUUCAAGGUUUGCUGGGACCCUCUCCAGUCUCUCUUUCCCCCCCUUCCUAGUAGAUUUUGCAAUCUCCAGCUGCCUUUAACUUUCUCUGCUUCCCCCUUUUUUCCUUUUGGAUGCAAUGUGUUUCAUUUUCACCUAUUUGAGUGUGC